rnacentral:rRNA from 1 species
GCCUUUAGCAAACAUUCCCCCAGUAUUAAAGGUCCUGCCUGCCCAGUGAAACUUCUUAAACGGCCGCGGUAUUCUAACCGUGCAAAGGUAGCGUAAUCAUUUGUCUUCUAAAUAAAGACCAGUAUGAAUGGCUAAAUGAGGACAAACCUGUCUCCUGCACCCCAUCAGUGAAAUUGAUCUUCCAGUCCAAAAGCUGGAAUAUAAGCAUAAGACGAGAAGACCCUGUGGAGCUUAAAAUUUAUCCACUACAACAAACUAGUACAAAAUUUUAAGUUGGGGCGACUUCGGAGCAAAACAAAACUUCCGAGCACAGAACCACUAAUUCUUUACCAAGGCAAACAAGCCUAAGAAAACUGACCCAGUCAUACUGACCAACGAACCAAGUUACCCCAGGGAUAACAGCGCUAUCUUCUUCAAGAGCCCAUAUCGACAAGAAGGUUUACGACCUCGAUGUUGGAUCAGGGCACCCCAAUGGUGCAGCCGCUAUUAAAGGUUCGUUUGUUCAACGAUUAACAGCC